rnacentral:rRNA from 1 species
GAUGAACGCUGGCGGCGUGCCUAAUACAUGCAAGUCGAACGCACAGCGAAAGCUGCUUGCACCUUUCAAGUGAGUGGUGAACGGUUGAGUAACACGUGAACAACCUCCCUCACGGCUUGGGAUAACUUUUGGAAACAGAUGCUAAUACCCAUUAAACUUUAGUGUCGCAUGCCACAAUUUUCAAAGUCGCUUCUCCGUCUCCUAGAGUUUAAUCCUCGGUGCGUUAGUUAGUUGGUCAGGUAAAGGACUACCAAGACAACUAUUAAUAGCCGAGUUGAGAGAAUGAUCGGCCACAGUGGGACUGAGACACGGCCCAAACUGAUACGAGAGACGACAGUAGGGAAUAUUCGAAAAAAGGCGAAAGCCUGAUAGAGAAACGCCGCGUGAGUGAUGAAGACUUUCGGGUAGUAAAGCACUGUUGUAAGGGAAGAAAAGAUAAAAGAGAAAAUGAUUAUAGUAUGAAGGUACCAAACCAGGAAGAGACAGAUAAAUACGUG